GAUGAAGAACGCAGCGAAAUGCGAUAAGUAAUGCGAAUUGCAGAAUUUCCGUGAAUCAUCGAAUCUUUGAACGCACAUUGCGCCCGCCAGCAUUCUGGCGGGCAUGCCUGUUCGAGCGUCAUUUCAACCCUCGACCUCCCCUUGGGGAGGUCGGCGUUGGGGACCGGCAGCACACCGCCGGCCCUGAAAUGGAGUGGCGGCCCGUCCGCGGCGACCUCUGCGCAGUAAUACAGCUCGCACCGGGACCCCGACGCGGCCACGCCGUAAAACACCCAACUUCUGAACGUUGACCUCGAAUCAGGUAGGACUACCCGCUGAACUUAAGCAUAUCAAUAAGCGGAGGA
rnacentral:misc_RNA from 1 species